rnacentral:sRNA from 1 species
UAUUUUUUGAUUCAUGAGUUUGACUGUCCCUCUGGUAUCUUUUGUCCCUCUUUUACAGGUAUUAUCUCUAUAUAGUAAAAGAGGGACGAAAGAUACCAAAGGGACAGUCAAACUCAUAAAUCUA